rnacentral:rRNA from 1 species
UUUGGAAUAUUGCCCAAUGGGGGAAACCCUGAGGCAGCGACGCCGCGUGGAGGAUGAAGGAUUUAGGUCUGUAAACUCCUUUUAUCAGGAAAGACUUAGGACGGUACCUGAUGAAUAAGCUCCGGCUAACUACGUGCCAGCAGCCGCGGUAAUACGUAGGGAGCAAGCGUUGUCCGGAUUUACUGGGCGUAAAGGGCGCGUAGGCGGUUUGUUAAGUGUGAAGUGAAAUCUCCAGGGCUCAACCCGGAAACUGCUUCGCAUACUGGCAGACUAGAGGAAUGCAGAGGUGAUUGGAAUUCCCGGUGUAGCGGUGACAUGCAUUGAUAUCGGGAGGAACACCCGCGGCGAAGGCGGAUCACUGGGCAUUAUCUGACGCUGAGGCGCGAAAGCGUGGGUAGCAAACAGG